GCCCGGAUAGCUCAGUAGGUAGAGCAGUGGACUGAAAAUCCACGUGUCGCUGGUUCGACUCCGGCUCCGGGCACCA
rnacentral:tRNA from 1 species